UCGAAGUAGAUUGGCCUCUCUGGCAAGAUUCCUAUUCGUCGGUCUGUCCGACGUACGUCUCCAUUCCCUCCUUCAGGGAACGAGGGUUACCUUUGUAACCGAGACGGUCUAACUACAACAAUGAAUUAGAAAAACUUCAACUUGAACAGAAAUUUAAUCAUGCACGUAUUAUAGCCUAUAAACUUUUUGUUUAAUGCGCAUGCGCCAAAAUACUACGUCAUGACGGCGCACUACUUCACCAGAGUUUGAAAAAUGCACUUUCAGCCAUCUUUCUGUGAUCGCGAUGCGUGAGGCAACUUUGCUGAUCAAAGAAGAAAACAAAGGAGCGCACGUUUGGAUGACUACAGAUGAGACGUUAUGUACUACAAAUAAAGAAGCAAGAUCAGUACAGAUUUGUUAUUGGAGAUACAGUGCAAGCUGUGUGGAAUCAAAGACCCAUAUUGAUGAGAUCAUGUUCCAAGUUUUGCCAUUAAUUCAGCCACCCUGAUCACACACUACAAACUAAACACUGCCAUCAACUGUCCUUUAUAGCUUUUAAAUGCUUUGAAUCUUUUCUAUUUGCAAGUAAUAAAUUCUCAUCUGUGCACUUACAAAUCCCCAUCUAAUCAUUAUAUAUUUAUAUAUAAUGAUAUUAUAUCAUUAUUUUCAAAGCAAAACCCCUCAAUUUGCUUGGGUCUUGGGUUAUCUAUAUUUGUGUAAUUGAUAAAGUUAUGUUUAAUUCCUUGUAAAGUAGGAAUAAAAAUGUUUAUAAAAAUGUUCUCUAUUUUGAAAGGCCAGUGUCAGUGAAGAUGGUGUGGUCACUGGAAUCCUGGUGUUUGUAGGAAAUGUGAAAGAGCUUCUCCCAGGAUUCUACAACAGUGUUGUCCUGAUGACUGAGGUAUUUAUUUUUUUUACUUUCUUGCCUCUUUGGAACAUGUCCAUUUAUGCAUACUGUGUAGAGGUGAUGCGCAGCUUCAUGGACAUUUAAGGUUUUCUGCUGAUGAAGAGCUUCUGGAACAUUGACAUAAACAGCACUUUUUCAUACAACUUAAAAAAGGUGGUGACAGACAAUUUUGGUUUUCUUGUUUUUGUGCCUUUGGAAUUUAUUGGGUUUUG